AACGAACGCUGGCGGCAGGCUUAACACAUGCAAGCCGAACGGAUAUAGCAAUAUAUUAGUGGCGCACGGGUGAGUAACGCGUGGGAACAUGCCCUUCAGUACGGGAUAACAGCGGGAAACUGCUGCUAAUACCGUAUAUUCCCUCCGGGGGAAAGAUUUAUCGCUGAAGGAUUGGCCCGCGUAAGAUUAGGUAGUUGGUGGGGUAAUGGCCUACCAAGCCUACGAUCUUUAGCUGGUCUGAGAGGACGACCAGCCACACUGGAACUGAGACACGGUCCAGACUCCUACGGGAGGCAGCAGUGGGGAAUAUUGGACAAUGGGCGAAAGCCUGAUCCAGCCAUGCCGCGUGAAUGAUGAAGGCCUUAGGGUUGUAAAGUUCUUUUGUCAGGGAAGAUGAUGACGGUACCUGAAGAAUAAGCACCGGCUAACUUCGUGCCAGCCGCCGCGGUAA
rnacentral:rRNA from 1 species